rnacentral:rRNA from 1 species
AUUGAACGCUGGCGGAAUGCUUUACACAUGCAAGUCGAACGGCAGCAUAGGUGCUUGCACCUGAUGGCGAGUGGCGAACGGGUGAGUAAUACAUCGGAACGUGCCCAGUCGUGGGGGAUAACGUAGCGAAAGUUACGCUAAUACCGCAUACGAUCUAAGGAUGAAAGCGGGGGACCGUAAGGCCUCGCGCGAUUGGAGCGGCCGAUGUCAGAUCAGGUAGUUGGUGGGGUAAAGGCCCACCAAGCCAACGAUCUGUAGCUGGUCUGAGAGGACGACCAGCCACACUGGGACUGAGACACGGCCCAGACUCCUACGGGAGGCAGCAGUGGGGAAUUUUGGACAAUGGGCGCAAGCCUGAUCCAGCCAUUCCGCGUGCAGGACGAAGGCCUUCGGGUUGUAAACUGCUUUUGUACGGAGCGAAAAGCCUUGGGUUAAUACCUCGAGGUCAUGACGGUACCGUAAGAAUAAGCACCGGCUAACUACGUGCCAGCCGCCGCGGUAA